UUUGUACUGGGAUGGACUGGUGCUGACUCAGCAACUGCAGGAAAAACACCACAGGGAGGCGCUGGAGCUGGCCGAGCUGCAGGACAAAGCCACGUCGGCCGAGACGAAGGUUCUGGAAAUGGGGACGACGCUGGAGGGGCUGCAGUGGGACAGCGCCAAACUGAGGAAACGCGAGGGGCGGCUGGACAGACACCUGGCCGAGGCGCUGGAACAGCUGACCUCGGGUUCCUACGGCUCCGGCAGCUCCGGGGGGUUCCAGGGGGGUCAAAUCACCCUCAGCGUGCAGAAGGUACCGGAAAAACGGGAAUUUGGG